rnacentral:rRNA from 1 species
GAUGAACGCUGGCGGUAUGCUUUACACAUGCAAGUCGUACGGGAGUUUUUAACUCAAGUGGCGGACGGGUGAGUAACACGUAAGAAUUUGCCUUUAGGAGAGGGAUAACAACUGGAAACGGUUGCUAAUACCCCAUAUGCUUUUGAGUGAAAUGGUUUUUCCGCCUAAAGAGAAGCUUGCGGCUGAUUAGCUUGUUGGUGAGGUAAUAGCUCACCAAGGCGACGAUCAGUAUCUGGUUUGAGAGGACGAUCAGACACACUGGAACUGAGACACGGUCCAGACUCCUACGGGAGGCAGCAGUAGGGAAUUUUCCGCAAUGGGCGAAAGCCUGACGGAGCAAUACCGCGUGAGGGAUGACGGCCUAUGGGUUGUAAACCUCUUUUUUCAGGGAGGAAUAAAUGACGUGUACCUGAAGAAUAAGCAUCGGCUAACUCCGUGCCAGCCGCCGCCGUAACAC